GAUGAAGAACGUAGCGAAAUGCGAUAAGUAGUGUGAAUUGCAGAAUUCAGUGAAUCAUCGAAUCUUUGAACGCACAUUGCGCCCUUUGGUAUUCCUUAGGGCAUGCCUGUUCGAGCGUCAUUUAAACCUUCAAGCUAAGCUUGGUGUUGGGUGACUGUCCGCUUCACGGCGGACUCGCCUCAAAAUUAUUGGCGGCCGGUACAUUGGCUUCGAGCGCAGCAGAAACGCGAACUCGGGCCCGUCGUAUUGGCUCCCAGAAGCUAUCUUCACAAUUUUGACCUCGGAUCAGGUAGGGAUACCCGCUGAACUUAAGCAUAUCAAUAAGCGGAGGGA
rnacentral:misc_RNA from 1 species